CUUAAACAACAGACAUUUAUUGUCUCACAGUUCUGGAGGCUGGAAGCCUGAGAUCAAAGUGUUGGCGGGGUUGGCUCCUCCAGAGGGCUGAGCAGGAGCUUUGGACGGCCUCAGGCAUUCCUUGCCUUGUGGGUUCCUUACCGUAAGAACCACUUGGGAAGCCAUAGCAUGUACCUUCUGCCAACUGAAAGAAGUCCUGCCUAACCAGAAACUGUGACAAGCCCUCAAGAGACGAGAUUUCUUGGUUUUUCAGUGAUAAAAGGUGUGCUCUAAGUUCUGGAAGCUUACAACUGACUAAGGUUUUGGAGGCCGGAUGGUCCUCUAAUGCUGGAGCUGUCUGUGAACACCCCGUGAGCUUGGACAAGCACUGAGACGCCUCACAGUCUUACCUCCCUGCGAUUCCCAGAGACUGCUCUCCAGACUCAUUCCUCUUGUUGGACAACUUGGCUUUGCCUCUUCUCAGAGGAUACAUCAUGCAUCAUAUGGUGCCCCGCCUGUUGGAUUAGCUUUUCGUGAACAAUCGUGUUGGAACUUUCAAAUGUUUGCCAUGAGAGUGUUGGUUUGUACCACUUGUGUAUGUGGGACUAUAUUAUCAAAGUAUGAAGGCACCAGAUGAGAUCCCUGUCAAUUUGCCAAGUGGAGCUUUUGUGGAAACUACACCUUUAAAAAAAUUCCAUUCAAAGCAGCUUUGAUUUGGAAUUUUUAAAGGACACAUGAUUUCCCUUUCAGAUGUGAUCUAGUAGGGGUGUAUUGUCAAUGUGUACCAAAAAAAGGGUAUCACAAACAGCCUCCCGGCAAACAGGUUCCUCUUCCCAAAGCAUCCCACUGACAGCCACUUCCUUUGCUCCCUUUCUGAAUUUUUACAUGACCCCAGAGUUGCUGUGUUACUAAUAGGAAAGAAUGGCUGAAUGAACUCUAAAAGCAUGGGGCGCUGCUCGUCUGUGGGUUACCAUUUAGAACUCUUUCAGGCAGCCGCGCAGCAUGAAAUACUAAUUCAUUACAUCUACAAUACCA
ensembl:lncRNA